UUCCCCCCCCGUAAUAUGCCCAGAAUGCCACGAGCGAGCAUCUGGGGGACUAUCACCUGAAAUUCGGGAUUGUACUUUCUUGUCUGUUCAUUGUAGCUGGCUGGAGCUAGCGUUUGCUGGUGGCAACUCCCCUGUCUUGCUUAUUUAGUAAAGUGCAAGACCCUGAAUUUGAAUGCCUCUUGGACGACACACCAUAGUUCCAUUCACAAUCGAUGGCGUCAGACACUUGGGGCCCUCAUCAUAUCACCGACAAUGAUCGUGGUCCUUUGGUCACGAUCAUUGCGAGUCUAAUGAUGGUGUACAUGGUAUUUUGUUUCCUUGCAAGAAUACUCACGCGAACCACAAUCAAUGGGCCAUUUGGUUCUGACGAUUGGGUCAUCACAGCCGGCACGGCAGUCGCAAUUAUACAUUCGAGCGCCAAAUUGGUAGAAGUUCGUGAUGGCUUUGGAAAGCGGCUAUCGGAUUUGGAAGACCAAGAUAUUCUCAACAUUCAAAAGGCUGCGUACGCCGGCGAUAUAUUUUACGUCCUUGGGUUGAUGUUGUCGAAAGCCGGCACAUUUAUGCUCAUCGCCCGCCUCACAAAAUAU
rnacentral:sRNA from 2 species